AGUGAACGCUGGCGGUAGGCCUAACACAUGCAAGUCGAACGGCAGCACAGUAAGAGCUUGCUCUUACGGGUGGCGAGUGGCGGACGGGUGGGGAAUACAUCGGAAUCUACUUUUUCGUGGGGGAUAACGUAGGGAAACUUACGCUAAUACCGCAUACGACCUACGGGUGAAAGCAGGGGAUCUUCGGACCUUGCGCGAUUGAAUGAGCCGAUGUCGGAUUAGCUAGUUGGCGGGGUAAAGGCCCACCAAGGCGACGAUCCGUAGCUGGUCUGAGAGGAUGAUCAGCCACACUGGAACUGAGACACGGUCCAGACUCCUACGGGAGGCAGCAGUGGGGAAUAUUGGACAAUGGGCGCAAGCCUGAUCCAGCCAUACCGCGUGGGUGAAGAAGGCCUUCGGGUGUAAAGCCCUUUUGUUGGGAAAGAAAAGCAGCAGGUUAAUACCCCGCUGUUCUGACGGUACCCAAAGAAUAAGCACCGGCGAACUUCGU
rnacentral:rRNA from 1 species